UCUUACGGCCAUACCACCCUGAACACGCCCGAUCUCGUCCGAUCUCGGAAGCUAAGCAGGGUCGGGCCUGGUUAGUACUUGGAUGGGAGACCGCCUGGGAAUACCAGGUGCUGUAAGCU
rnacentral:rRNA from 1 species